rnacentral:rRNA from 1 species
UCGAGCGAACAGACGAGGAGCUUGCUCCUCUGACGUUAGCGGCGGACGGGUGAGUAACGCGUGGAUAACCUACCUAUAAGACUGGGAUAACUUCGGGAAACCGGAGCUAAUACCGGAUAAUAUAUUGAACCGCAUGGUUCAAUAGUGAAAGACGGUUUUGCUGUCACUUAUAGAUGGAUCCGCGCCGCAUUAGCUAGUUGGUAAGGUAACGGCUUACCAAGGCGACGAUGCGUAGCCGACCUGAGAGGGUGAUCGGCCACACUGGAACUGAGACACGGUCCAGACUCCUACGGGAGGCAGCAGUAGGGAAUCUUCCGCAAUGGGCGAAAGCCUGACGGAGCAACGCCGCGUGAGUGAUGAAGGUCUUCGGAUCGUAAAACUCUGUUAUUAGGGAAGAACAAAUGUGUAAGUAACUAUGCACGUCUUGACGGUACCUAAUCAGAAAGCCACGGCUAACUACGUGCCAGCAGCCGCGGUAAUACGUAGGUGGCAAGCGUUAUCCGGAAUUAUUGGGCGUAAAGCGCGCGUAGGCGGUUUUUUAAGUCUGAUGUGAAAGCCCACGGCUCAACCGUGGAGGGUCAUUGGAAACUGGAAAACUUGAGUGCAGAAGAGGAAAGUGGAAUUCCAUGUGUAGCGGUGAAAUGCGCAGAGAUAUGGAGGAACACCAGUGGCGAAGGCGACUUUCUGGUCUGUAACUGACGCUGAUGUGCGAAAGCGUGGGGAUCAAACAGGAUUAGAUACCCUGGUAGUCCACGCCGUAAACGAUGAGUGCUAAGUGUUAGGGGGUUUCCGCCCCUUAGUGCUGCAGCUAACGCAUUAAGCACUCCGCCUGGGGAGUACGACCGCAAGGUUGAAACUCAAAGGAAUUGACGGGGACCCGCACAAGCGGUGGAGCAUGUGGUUUAAUUCGAAGCAACGCGAAGAACCUUACCAAAUCUUGACAUCCUCUGACCCCUCUAGAGAUAGAGUUUUCCCCUUCGGGGGACAGAGUAA